AGUGGAUGGGGAGCAACCUAGUUGUGCGUGUGUAAAGGUAGUGCCAAGAAAAGCGGUGAUCAUGAUGAAAAUCAAUUCCCGGUACCCGAAACCGACACAGGUGGGCAAGUAGAGAAUACUAAGGGGCGCGAGGUAACUCUCUCCAAGGAACUCGGCAAAAUGACCCCGUAACUUAGGGAGAAGGGGUGCCACCGAGAGGUGGUCGCAGUGAAGAGUCCCAGGCGACUGUUUAGCAAAAACAUAGGUCUCUGCAAACUCGAAAGAGGAGGUAUAGGGGCUGACGCCUGCCCAGUGCCGGAAGGUUAAAGAAGUUGGUCAGUCUUAGGAUGAAGCUAGCGACUGAAGCCCCGGUGAACGGCGGCCGUAACUAUAACGGUCCUAAGGUAGCGAAAUUCCUUGUCGGGUAAGUUCCGACCCGCACGAAAGGCGUAACGAUCUGGGCGCUGUCUCGGAGAGAGGCUCGGCGAAAUAGGAUUGUCUGUGAAGAUACGGACUACCUGCAUUUGGACAGAAAGACCCUAUGAAGCUUUACUAUAGCUUGGAAUUGUGUUCGGGCUUCCUGUGCGCAGGAUAGGUGGAAGGCGUAGAAGGUAUUCUUGUGGGGAUACUGGAGCCAACGGUGAGAUACCACUCUCAGGAGGCUAGAAUUCUAACUUAAUUAAGGACAGUUUCAGGUGGGUAGUUUGACUGGGGCGGUCGCCUCCAAAAAGGUAACGGAGGCGUACAAAGGUUCCCUCAGACUGGUUGGAAAUCAGUCGAAGAGUGCAAAGGCAGAAGGGAGCUUGACUGCGAGAAGUACAGUUCGAGCAGGGUGGAAACACGGUCUUAGUGAUCCGACGGUGCUGUGUGGAAGGGCCGUCGCUCAACGGAUAAAAGUUACUCUAGGAUAACAGGCUGAUCUCCCCCAAGAGUUCACAUCGACGGGGAGGUUUGGCACCUCGAUGUCGGCUCAUCGCAACCUGGGGCGGAAGUACGUCCCAAGGGUUGGGCUGUUCGCCCAUUAAAGCGGUACGUGAGCUGGGUUCAGAACGUCGUGAGACAGUUCGGUCCAUAUCCGAUGUAGGCGUGAGAAUAUUGAGAGGAGCCUUCCUUAGUACGAGAGGACCGGGAAGGACGCACCGCUGGUGUACCUGUUAUGAUGCCAAUUGUAAACGCAGGGUAGCCAAGUGCGGAGAGGAUAACCGCUGAAAGCAUCUAAGUGGGAAGCCCACCUCAAGAUGAGUAUUCUGGUGUAAGGUCACGGGAAGACGACCCGUAAAUAGGCACGAGGCGGAAGUGCAGAGAUGUAUGAAGCCGAAGUGUACUAAUAGACCGUCGGCUUGACC
rnacentral:rRNA from 1 species